UUUUGUUCCUGGACUCUUCAGUGAUGAUGAGCAGAGUCUGAGUGAACCUGCUGUCAGACAGGUUGGCCUGAUUGACGAUGUCAUCGUCCAUUGCCGAUGGCUGAUAGACAUCACGAUGCUGCGCCGGCAAACAGCAUCAUCAGCUCCAGUAUCUCGCCCAUGCAUCUGUUGUCAUGCGACAGAGAAGUCGCGUUCUAUAGACAGUUUCUAUAGACAGUUGUGAACGUGCUGACAGCUGGUUGCCCAGGCUAUGGAUUAAAGGUAAUACUGUUGGCCCACCGCUGCUGUCAGGCAACAUCUCCAAGAUGCUAGAAACUGCAGGACCAAUAAGUACAAUCUUGAACAUACACAACUGUAUCAUAAGUUUGGGAAGGAUGGCCAUCCCAAGGUUUCUAGAGAUUACAGCAGCUCCAGACUGAAUCCAAACUCACUUUUGAAGACUUCAGAUGACACCAACGCUCACAAAGACUACAGACGACAACUGUACAUGAACACACAAAACAUUGGACACACAAAACAAAUAUUAUCCUU